rnacentral:lncRNA from 1 species
GUGUUUGGUCUGGGCGUGCGAACGAGAGAAGGAACCAAGGGAACCAAAACCCUAAACAACCUAAAAUCAUCAAAUUGAAAGGGGAAUCGAGGGCUGAUCGAAUGCAUGAGUCUAGAUACCCUUUAAUCUAAGUGUAUUGAUCAUAAGGAACGUGUCAAGGAGAGCUCAAGCAUAGGAGGAUAACGGGUCAAGAUAAGGCAAGGUGACAAAUACACUUAUUGGAAUACUCAAGGUAAGUGAUUUCUAUAAUCACUUCUUUAGUUGUUUAAGUAGUAUAAUGUUUUAAUUAUUAAGUUCAUAUGAAGUUGAGGUUAAAUCAAUGGAUUAUUUUGAUAAAUGCACGAAUGGGUCGAAUAAUUCAUAGAUGAAUAACAAGCCGAAUACGUAUAAGUUAAGGAAUUCCUUAACUCGGAUGUUGGACUUCAAGAUCACGUGAUAGAAUAUUAAAUUACAAUCAUAUAGGAAGAAACGUGACGCAAAACGGACGAAAAAUGAGAGAGUUAUGUCCGUUUCAGUAAGGAUUAAUGGCUAGGAAAAGUGCAGAGUUGACACGGCCGGGUGGUGAACUGACACGGCCGGGUGAAGGUUCUGUCAAAAUAUAAUUUAUGUGAUUUAUGCGCCGUAGGCUUCGGUAUAUUAUCCGUGAACUACGACGGGCCUCCCAAACAUGAUUUCGAGUGUUUCCUUGACGAUUAUAAGUUGUAAACCCAAGUCUAAGCCUCAUGUAAUUUAUAUAAGAGUGUGAUAGAUGUAUGUAAUGAAGUUGGACAUGUAUUACAUGUAAAUGUAUACAAAAAUACGUACGGAACACGUAGGUAUGAAUACAUGAUUGUAGGUAUGAUUAAAUGUAUAUUAGGUAUGUAGAUGUGUAUGAUUGUAAGUUUGUAUGUGUGCAAGUAUGUGCGAAUGCAUGAUUCGGAUGCAUUUGAGAAUUAGCGUUACUAAUAAUGCCCUUGGGUUUGGAAUAUAAGUUGAUUGGAUGCAUUUAAAUGGUUAACGUCCUUUUUAUGAAGAUGUAGUAAAUGAAUAUGUUGAGAUUACGGGUUUGGCUAACCAAGUUAUUAUUGAGUAUGUUUGAAAGUGCAGGUGAUGAAUGUCGGACUUUCGAAGUGUUGAUAUAAUAAUGAAACGGUUGAAUGUUGAAAGGAUAAUCAGACUGAAGUAACUUAUGCGGUUAGAAUAUGCUAUGGACGUUUUAGUUUAUACAAUAUUAUAUGUUUGGUCGUCACCAUCUACUAACAGGUUCGUUGUAUGAGAGUAUAUGUCAUACCCAUUUAAUUGGGUAAUCGAAUGCGUAAGAAAAAUGAAAGUACGCACACGAAUGGAACUAAAAUGACGGUUUUAUAAGCAAACAAGUAUAAUGACUAACUUUUUAAAGCUUUGUUGUUGAAUGUAGGUAAAUCCUCAAUUUUGGCGACUUGGAGAAUCGGAGCGAGCGCGUGUUCGUGUUAUGCGAUACCAAACGCUUCCGCUAGUUUGUUCAAAUGUUUUUGACCCAAAAUUUGUUGUAUUGGUUUUUAGUAGUAUCUUGUUGAACGAAUUGUAGAAUUGUAUCUAGUUUGUUUAUGUUUAAAACAGGGGUAUGCUCGUUUUAUGGACGGGUCAUGCCCGAUUUUUUGUUAAAUUAUAGUUUGAUAAUAUCACAUUUAGGAAGGUGAAAUUUUGGGCGUAACAAGUUGGUAUCAGAGCCUAGGUUUGAGGGAUUCGAGCAAGAGUAUCAGUGCUUGAACUCAAACCGAUGACUCGUGCAAAAGUGUGCUCGCUCCGAGAUCGCCAAUGAGGCCAAGAGCACGCGGGUUAUGCGAAGGGUAAGCGCAAUUGUUCGGAAGGAAUGAUCCGUGAAUGCGGUCUAGGACCGGCAUCAAGGCAAGUAAUAAGACGAAUUGACCCCUGGUGAGCUUGAUGAAUGGACACGCAAUGUUACUAAUCAGAAAGGAAGGAUAAUCGUAAGGUAUGGAUAACGAAUCAAUGGAAUUUACUUCCGUCAGGUAUGUAUAAAAAGAAGUGUAACUUUAAUAGAGGUUAGUACUCGACUAGAAAUGGAUGUGUCAGAAUAGAAUGUAUGUAUAUAUACAAACCGUAAUGCAAAAUGUGGAGUGAAUUUCAAAAUGUUCGUAAU